UACGUAGGGUGCAAGCGUUUAAUCGGAAUUACUGGGCGUAAAGCGUGCGCAGGCGGUUUUGUAAGUCUGUCGUGAAAUCCCCCGGGCUCAACCUGGGAAUUGCGAUGGAGACUGCAAGGCUAGAAUCUGGCAGAGGGGGGGUAGAAUUCCACGUGUAGCAGUGAAAUGCGUAGAGAUGUGGAGGAACACCGAUGGCGAAGGCAGCCCCCUGGGUCAAGAUUGACGCUCAUGCACGAAAGGCGUGGGGAGCAAACGAGGAUUAGAAACCCGUGG
rnacentral:rRNA from 1 species